rnacentral:lncRNA from 1 species
UGCUAGCCGCCGCGCCCGCGCUCUCCUCCGCCGCAGCCGGCACCAUCGUCUUCACCACGCUCGGCCGCAGCCGCUACGCCUUCGAUGUCUACGACCUCCCGCUCGCCCCCUCCCUCUCCCUCCCCGCCUCCCCUUCGACAGAGCUCCGCCUCACCGACGGCGCCUCCGUCAACUACAACGCAAACUUCGCGCCCUCCUCCGCCGCGCUGCUCUUCGUCUCCGAGCGCAACGGCUCCCUCAACGUCUACCUCUCCCCCGUCCCCCCGACCGCCUCCCGCCGCGAGGCGCGCGAAGUCGGCGAUGGGGACUCGUCCACGCCUGCGGCCCCGACGCCGCUGCUGCCAUGGGACCCCGUCGCGCUCCGGGACCGCCCGGCCCUUACCCGCGACAGCGAGCGGUAAAGCACGUUGAUAUCAUUGUGUGAUCUGGCCAUGCCAAAAAAAGAGUGUCAGAUCCAGAGAUCUUGAGACGCCACGGCCUCAAGUAUGACAGUGCAAGCCCUGAUAUGGCCCUUAUACUUCCCUUGCCAAACAGAAGGGCAGUUCUUUCACUCCCAAUGCAUGCAGUCUAUACUACCAAUCAUCCCUGGGAAGCCCCUGCUUGCAUUCAUCGCCAACAAACGGGUUGUAUCUUCAGCAGUAGGCUCUCUCAAGUACUCAGGGCCAAACACAGCAAUAACAGCCUUGCAGAACUUAUACAGGGACUCUAGGCAAGUAGACUCGCUCAUACGGACGUACUCGUCAAUGAGAUCACCGUAUGCAAGCAUUCGGAUGGCGGCAGUGCAUUUCUGAUAAGAGGAAAAACCAAUCUUGCCAACGGCAUCCUCUUUGCACUCGAAAUAGUUAUCAUAGCCGACCACCCCCUCUCUAAUAUGGUUGAAAAGAUGCCUACUCAUACGGAAACGGCGGCGGAAUUUCUGAUGUUUGAACAACGAGUUUGUUGUAUCAAAAUAGUUCUUCCAAAGGAGGAAAUGCCCGCUCUCUCGAUUGCGAUUCAACGCCGGAAGGCAGCCCGGAAUGGAGCCACGGAACAAUGGCCGCUGGCUGUUGAGGUGGUGAUGGACCAACACGGCAGUCAAUAUCUCCUCCUCGUCAUCGGAGGACGAAUCGUCGGAGUCACAAAGGAAAUUGUGAAAAAAGAACUCGUCGGAUGAGUACAUUUUUGUACCUUGGCAAACUGUCGAACAGCUUGCGGGCGUCAGUGAAGGAGACGGCCGGCGAAGUGAGUCGCGGCGCGCACGGACCAGCUAGUUGUCCUGCCGGCAUCCGACGAGCGGUGAGGCGGCUUCUUGGUUGGUGGCGGCUGUGUGGUGGGAGGUGCGGGGGGGAGGGGGGAAGCAGUCGGCUCCCGGCCGGCAAACACGGCGGUGGCGGGCGACGUGGGAGCGGGCGACGUAGCUGGGCGGAUGUGAAGGCCCCGGCAGCUGGCAGAGUCGCUGGCAAAAAUGGGCGGCGGCGGCGACGACGAUGAAGGAGGACUAGGAUUGUUGUUGGAUGGGGGAGGGCAAUGUGACACACCCCAGCGGGUUCGAAGAAGGAGAUGACGAGCGUGCGCACGUCUGUCGCGUGUCCGCGCCGACGCAAAUCCGGCUCAAAAAUGGGCCGGGAAUGGGUCGACCGCGGACGAAAAGCGGACGCGCGUCCGUUUGGGUCGGCGCGUUGGGCCACCUUUUAUGUCCACGCCGAUCCAAAUGAACGGCGCCGGACGAAAUGGGUCACCCCGUUGGAGUUGCUCUUAACAAUAUCAGGGGCGUAACGAGCUAGCACACACCACAAAAUGGAGCGCUCCCUGGCCAGUGCUCCUGCCUUUAAUAUGGGCACGCAUUUCGGGCUUUAGGACUGGAACUAGAACGGGCUUUUGCCUGCGGGGGCUCUCUUACUGCCACAGGGUCUUUGUAGAUAGUUUUUCUGUAGCUCUUUCUUGUAAGAUGAUUCUUUUUUUCUAGUAAAAAUUGUAGAUACAUCUAGGGAUCGAGCAUUCACCAACUAAAUCUUCCAAGCACACAUUCACAACAAAAAGAAUUCGUGGGAGCAACUACUGAGCAGGUACCCCUUUGGGGGCGUACCCAGCGGACAGCGCUGCCACGUGUCUCGUGCUGGCGCACCCCGGCGGGUACAUGUUUGGUUUUUCCUAGGUUUUCUAAAAAGAAUGAACUGGUCAGUGAGAUUAUGUACAUGGUCCACUGAUGAAGACUAGUUUUCUAAUCAGCAGGGAUUAUGAGACAAGGGAAGUAACCAUGGUCAGCGAGAUUAUGUACUACAUGCAGACUUAAGUAGAUGAUUUCAUGAAUGUACGUACAUGCACAAAUUAAAAGGAUUUUCCCGAAAAUAUGAGCCAAAAUGACUUGGCAGCGGACUAAUUGAAUGAGAUUGCACGUAGGAGCGCACACAUUUACAGAACUACUUCAAGCAGACAUCUUUCUUGUGCCGACAGGGUAAAGAAUUCAAGCAUGGCAGACCAUGAUACAAAGAAAGAAAAGCUUAAAAGUCGAUCAAACGCGUCACUGCGGCAUAUUUCCUGAAAACUUAUAUUUGCUCUUGAAAGUUUUCUUUGUGAGCAGGAAUAUUCAGGAGAUCAUUGAAACAUGGACCAGGUCAUAUCAAUACAGGAACCUACAGUGAACAAAUCAAGCAACCAUAGGAAACUGUGUUCCUUGGUGCAGGAUCAACAUCUCACACAAGAAUCAUACGUAAACCAAAAACAACAAUGACACGAGCAGCUUGACAUCUCCACUCCAAUGGGGCAACAGAGCACAAAGGAGUUAGUACAAAGUUGAGUCAUCUAUUUUGAAACGGAGGGAGUAGCUCCUGAAUGACACGGUACAUCCUGACCCAUGAUAAUAGUCAGACUCUCAAUGAUGAACUAAGAUUGGGACAGUCCCAAAAGAGCAAUCAAACUAGUAAUGGUAUCCCACCAGAUCUCUGGAAGUACACGGAGAGAUUGAGGGAGACGCACAAUGCAACAAGCAACCGUCGAGAACGAAUCAAACGACGACAUGAUGAGAGUGUAUUACUUCGGGUAAGGAAUGCGAGGCAGCUCGGAAGGAAUCAAUCACCAUGGAAGAGCAAAGCCGCUCCUUCUGCCUUGCUCUCUUUUCUCCGUUGCAACGGAUGAAACAAAGCAAAGCUGCUAGAGAGGGAACUCGUAGUUGGGUGGUCUACGAGUCUCGAUGUAAUUUUCACUAUAACAGUACUGCCAUUAUGUUUGAUGAAUAGCUUUGAAAGUUUUUUUUUCUGAAAAACAAAAUUGGUUUGUCUUGAAUGAUUGCGCUCGACAAUUUUGGCCCAGAAGAAAUAUCUCCCUUGGGUCGCUUUCUUCUCCCGGUGAAAAUGAUCCCCAGCCUCAUCCAGAAGAAGAAAAUGUCGGCGACACUUCUGGAAGAAGUGGAUGUGGAUCCGAUGCUCCGCACCACCAAACCCAAUUUUCUUUCAUUAUUUCCCGCCGUAAAACUCGCCGGGUUUAUCCGCUUCCCUUUCCCCGCACACCGCACGCACGCAGCGCCAGCGAGUAAUCCCCGUCGCCAUGGCUCCCCGCGCCGCCCUCCUCCUCCUCCUGCUCCUGCUGAACGCCGCGCCCGCGCUCUCCUCCGCCGCCGCCGGCACCAUCGUCUUCACCACGCUCGGCCGCACCCGCUACGCCUUCGACGUCUACGCCCUCCCGCUCGCCCCCUCCCUCUCCGCCUCCCCCUCCCCUGCAGCAGGGGCAGAGCUCCGCCUCACCGACGGCGCCUCCGUCAACUACAACGCCAACUUCGCGCCCUCCUCCGCCGCGCUCCUCUUCGUCUCCGAGCGCAACGGCUCCCUCAACGUCUACCUCUCCCCCGUCCCGCCCUCCUCCUCCUCCUCUGCCUCCCGCCGC